rnacentral:rRNA from 1 species
AAUCAACGCUGGCGGCGUGCCUAACACAUGCAAGUCGAACGCGAAAGGGGAGCAAUCCCUGAGUAGAGUGGCAAACGGGUGAGUAACACGUGGGUGACCUGCCUUCGAGUGGGGGAUAACGUUCCGAAAGGAACGCUAAUACCGCAUGACAUCCUGCUUUUGGAGAAGCGGAGAUCAAAGCUGGGGAUUCGCAAGAACCUAGCGCUUGAAGAGGGGCCCGCGCCUGAUUAGCUAGUUGGUGGGGUAACGGCUCACCAAGGCUUCGAUCAGUAUCCGGCCUGAGAGGGCGGACGGACACACUGGGACUGAGACACGGCCCAGACUCCUACGGGAGGCAGCAGUGGGGAAUUGUUCGCAAUGGGCGCAAGCCUGACGACGCAACGCCGCGUGGAGGAUGAAGAUUUUCGGAUCGUAAACUCCUGUCGAGUGGGAAGAAUAGCUUCCGGGCGAAUAUCCCGGAAGUCUGACGGUACCACUAAAGGAAGCCCCGGCUACCUCCGUGCCAGCAGCCGCGGUAAUACGGGGGGGGC